rnacentral:rRNA from 1 species
GCUGGCGGCGUGCCUAAUACAUGCAAGUCGAACGGCUUUUCUAUGGAAGCUUGCUUCCACUGAGAAGAUAGUGGCGAACGGGUGAGUAACACGUGGGUAACCUGCCCAUAAGAGGGGGAUAACAUCCGGAAACGGGUGCUAAUACCGCAUAGUUUUCUUGAUCGCAUGAUCGGGAAAGGAAAGACGGCCUUUGUGCUGUCGCUUAUGGAUGGACCCGCGGCGUAUUAGUUAGUUGGUGAGGUAACGGCUCACCAAGACGAUGAUACGUAGCCGACCUGAGAGGGUGAUCGGCCACAUUGGGACUGAGACACGGCCCAAACUCCUACGGGAGGCAGCAGUAGGGAAUCUUCCGCAAUGGACGAAAGUCUGACGGAGCAACGCCGCGUGAGUGAAAGAAGGUUUUCGGAUCGUAAAACUCUGUUGUCAGAGAAGAACAAGUUGGAGAGUAACUGCUCCAGCCUUGACGGUAUCUGACCAGAAAGCCACGGCUAACUACGUGCCAGCCGCCGC